CCCGUAUCCACCAAAGUACGGAAGUGCAUAAAACACAAGAAUGCACCUGCACUGACCGGGGAAAGGAGAAUGAUAGGGACUGCAAGUUCUUCAGCAGCUUGUAUAGGAAAACUCAUGAAACAAUCAGAGACUAUGCAGGUAACUGGGGGGAUGAGGCCAGCAGUGGCAGAGUGGUUAAGUCUAGCAAGAAGGUCACGAAAGGGUUGGAGGAAGUUCUUUCUGAAGGAGUCACAAAGAGAGGGUAUGUGUUGACUAACAUCACCAUCAGCAUCAUCAUCCAAGGGAGGAAGGCCAUCUGGGAUGGUUUCAAAGCGAAAAUCUGGCAGGCCCUGAAGGGCAUUAGGACCCCUUGAUUUGAGGUAGCGUUUGUGGUUGUAGUCGGUGUGGACAAAGGUUAUGUGAAAGCCUCUGAGAUGAAGCAGCUUUGCUAGUUUGAACAAGGGAUUUAUAUGUCCUUGAAGUGGAAAUGGAACCAGCACAGCGUGUGGCUUUGUCUCAGCAGUGCAGUUCAUCUUGAAUUUUCCUUUUUAUGCAAAAUGAAGGGGAAAGUCAAAGGAAAGGAAAACCCUCUCAACAAAUAUAGCAAGCUCAAUGAAUGAACCACUUGCCAGACAAGACAAUUGCAACAUCUUGCAGUUUUUUAUAUAAAAGGCCUUUUUUAGAAGUAGUGGCAUUUUGAUGGGAUAGAUGUUGAAUUUAAAAAAUGAAAAGAAAAUAUUUGAGUGGUUACUACAUGUGGGGAAUGGGUGAGGUAGGAUACAGAUUCUGUCGCCUCUAAUGCAGAAGGCAAUCCAAAUACUAUGGAGAAAGAUAAAUGGACAGGUGUUGUUGCAGUGUUCACUAAAGUCAAUGAUCCCUCGUCUAUCACCAUUUUUCCUUCUGCUUCAACUUAAAACUAACUUUGUUUAUCCCUACAAUGAUUUACAACAAUUCACCUACAAAUUUCAUUAUCAAAUAUGGUGUUGACUUUUUAUGUUUAAAUAAGAAAUCAAUACUCUUAACACCACUUUUCUAGUGAAAGGGGUAUGGAUACUGAUGUGAAGAGAAAAAAGGUAUGAAUGAAUUGUUAUCAGAGUCUCACAUUGAAUAAUAAACAAAAAGAAAAGUUGAUAAUUAUUAUAAAGUUGAGGAAUUAAUUUAAGUAAUUUUACUGUUCUUUUUUAGUACAGAAGAUUAAGAUAGUUGUGUGUCAUAAUAAAAUUUGUAUUUUUUUGUAAAAUUUAUAUAAGAGGUUUUGUAAUUUUCUUGUUAGAAGAAUCAGUGUGUCUGCAUGUAAGCCUAAUCAACUAACUAUAUUGUAAAAUAUUUUUUUCAUAUUAAAGUUGACUGUGUUUAUUUUUUAUUGACAUCAUCAAAAUUAUUAACUUAUUUUUAAUGUUAGGUUGUAAGUCCCAUAAUUAACAAUAAAACAACAGAUACGGACCUUUUCAUUACCACUCUACAACCUUAUUUGUUAUCGUUUAUAUUUAAUAAUUUAAUUUAUCCUUUAAUUAAAUAACUUAAUUCAAUAUAUUAUUAUUAUUAUUUAAUAUAAUAAGGAUGUAAAAGAAAAGAAUACCAACAUAUAAACACCAUUCCACUAAUAAACAAAAAAAGGCUAAUGGGAGAUUUAAUAGCCUCGCAUUAUUUUAACCCAGAUUUCAAUUUGAUCCAAGAGUAUUUUUUAUAAUUGUUUAUGUAUAUGUUCAAUUUGCUGAUGCAGCUUACACUGUUAAAAUAAUUUAAUUAAUUUAAAAGAAACCCAUAAAUUUACGUAACCGUCUACAGAUACCAAUGCAAAAACAAGAUAUAAUAGAGUGACGAUGAAUCACAUAAAAAAAUAUUUAACAUUGAGUGAAACAUAAUCUACGUCCACAUAUAUAAAAAUUCAUUAUAUGGAUAUGGGAUUAAAAUUUAUAAUUUCUCUCAAGUUUUAUAACGAACUCUUAAUUUAAUUCAAACGUUAAAAAAUAUUUUAAUAUAAUCAAACAAAAAAAUUGUUUAAUUAACUUCCAGUAGAAGACACUCUUCGAAAAAAGGUCUGCAAUGAAUCAACUGAGGGAACAAUGAAACGGCAACUAAAAUUCUAAAAAAUAAACAAAAGUAUUAAACAGUCUAAGUAAAGUUCUCAUUCACAAAAAAAGUCUUUGAACUACUAGACGAUCUAAAAGUUAUAUACCGUCUACAACCUUUUAAACGGUUUAAGAAUCUUUCAACAUGGAUUAUGACAGAACGAAUAUUCACCAUUAAAUAGAUAAUUCUUAUUUCAAUUACAUAAAUUAUGUCAACUAACUAUGCAUGUUGUAACAUGCAAGAAACAAGUUGAUGGUAAUAUAAACUGAAAAUUAAUUAAUUGAUAACAAGUCUCUAAAUAUCAUCCAAAACAGAAUGAAUGGCGGUUUGAAAUAUCAAGAAAAAAUUAGAACAGAGGAAUUACAAACUACUAAGGGGCAUUUUUCUAUAACAUUCCAACACAUUCUAAGGGAAUGAAUUAUUACUGUGGUGCUUAUAUGUUUACUCUAUAAACAGUGAAAACACACAUCUCAUGAAUAACAAAAACCCUUCAAUCGCAUGAUGUCUGCUUAAGCAACACCUCCUUGAUUACUUUGUCCAAGUUUAUGUAUGAACAACCACCUGGUCUUGUCACCUCCUCUGCUUUCUUCUUCAACUCCAUCGUCCUUUCUCUCAUCUUCUUGCCCUUCUCCCCUGCCAUCAACUCAUUCACCAGCUUCUCCACCUCCUCUCUCUUCGCAUUGCUAUCAACUUCAAUCCCAAUCUCCCACUCAUGGCACAUAUAUCUGCAGUUUGUUGGCUGAUCUGCAAAAAAUGGCCAACACAACAUUGGGACUCCAGCACAAACACUUUCAGUAGUCGAGUUCCAUCCACAGUGAGUCAAGAAACCUCCAACUGAAGGAUGGUUCAGCACUUUCUCCUGUGGGCACCAGCUUGCUAUCAGGCUUCUGUCUCUGGUUUCAUUCACAAACUCUGAUGACAAGAUCACGGAACCUCCAAUGACAAGGUCAGGCCUAAUGAUCCACAAAAACGGUUUCUUGCUGUUUGCCAAACCCCAAGCAAACUCCAACAGUUGAUCUGCAGACAUAACAGUGAUGCUGCCAAAAUUCACAUAAACUACGGAUCCAGGUUCCUUGGAUUCAAGCCAAUCGAGACACUCGGUGUUUUCCUUCCAAAGACUGGAACCUAAAGAUUCCAAGUGCUGGUGUGGAGUUUGAUUCAAAAGUAAAGGGAAAGGACCAAUGGUAUAAACAGAAGGGAGUUUAAAGGAAGAGGAGAUUGCAUUAAUUGCAUCUCUUUCAAGUUCAUCAAAAGUAUUAAAAACAACAGCAGAGGCGCUGGGAAUUUUAUCAGUUUCUUCAAUGAAAAAGUUCAACAUUACAUCAUUUGGAUCUGUUGUCCUCAUAAAGUCAGGCAGGUCCUUCAGCCGAAAAUUUGUCAACCCUGGAAUGCAGUCUGCUUUGGCGUCCAAAUAUCCAUUUGUCAGAUCACUCUCAUCUGCAUGUCACAAUCACAAAGGCCAAUAGCUGUCAAAUCCAUGCAUGAACACAUCUAUCACAUAGUACAUUCAAAUGUAAUAACUGUUUUAAGUUCCUUAAUAUUCUAAAAAAAAUGGUUUUGUCCCUGUAUUUUAAAAAGACUAUCUUGGUCUUUGUAUUUUCUGAAAUAUGAUCAACUUUGUUUGUUCCUCAUCUGGUCAAAAUGACAAAAACGAUCACAAAAUUCACAAAUUCACCACAGUUCAAAAGUUAGUGGACUAAAGGUAUCCUUUCCAAAUUAUAGGUACUAAACUUGAUCCAGUGUAAAUCUUGAAGAUGCUAAAACACGUUUUAUGCUGAAUGGAUGAAGAACAUAACUGUAUAUAUACCUUUGAGGGGUACGGUUCCUCUUUCAACCAGAGUACGAUAGUGCAUGAAAGACCAGAAUGCACCUGCACUGAGUGGGGAAAGGAGAAGGACAGGGAGUCCAAGUUCCUGAGCUGCUUGGAUAGGAAAAGUGACGAAACAGUCAGAAACCAAGCAGGUAACUGGGGGGUUGAGACCAGUAGUGGCAGAGUGGUUAAGUCUAGCAAGAAGGUCACGAAAGGGUUGGAGGAAGUUCUUUCUGAUGGAGUCACAGAGAGAGGGUAUGUGUUGACUAACAUCAGCAUCAGCAUCAGCAUCCAAGGGAGGAAGGCCAUCUGGGAUGGUUUCAAAGCGAAAAUCUGGCAGGCCCUGAAGGGCAUUAGGAC
rnacentral:lncRNA from 1 species